rnacentral:rRNA from 1 species
CCUACGGGUGGCAGCAGUGAGGAAUAUUGGUCAAUGGACUCACGUCUGAACCAGCCAUGCCGCGUGCGGGAAGACGGCUCUAUGAGUUGUAAACUGCUUUUGUACGGGGGUAAACGCAGAUACGCGUAUCUGUCUGAAAGUAUCGUGCGGAUAAGGCUCGACUAACUCCGUGCCAAGAGCCGCGGUAAUACGGAGGAUUCAAGCGUUAUCCGGAUUUAUUGGGGUUAAAGGGUUCGGAGGCGGUCGGAUAAGUUAGAGGUUAAAUCCCGAGGCUCAACUUCGGCAUUGCCUCUGAUACUGUUCGGCUAGAGAGUAGUUGCGGUAGGCGGAAUGUAUGGUGUAGCGGUGAAAUGCUUAGAGAUCACACAGAACACCGAUUGCGAAGGCAGCUUACCAAGCUACUUCUGACGUUGAGGCACGAAAGCGUGGGGAGCAAACAGGAUUAGAUACCCUUGUAGUC